AUAGGCUAAUUAAGGGCGUAUGGGGAAUGCCUAGGCUCUCAGAGGCGAUGAAGGACGUGAUAAGCUGCGAAAAGCUACGGGGAGUGGCACAUACACUGUGAUCCGUAGAUAUCCGAAUGGGGCAACCUGUUAUGUUGAAGACAUAUCACCUCGUAAGAGGAGCAAACCCGGGGAACUGAAACAUCUAAGUACCCGGAGGAGAAGAAAACAAAAGUGAUUCCGCUAGUAGCGGCGAGCGAACGCGGAACAGCCCAAACCAAAGUUGUUACGGCAAUUUUGGGGUAAUAGGACCACAACAUUUGAUGCAUUAUGAACUAGAAUCUACUGGAAAGUAGAACCAUAGAGGGUGAUAGUCCUGUAUAGGUACAAUGAUGUUAUUGAUAGUGGUAUCCUGAGUAGUGCGGGGCACGUGAAACCUUGCAUGAAUUCGCCGGGACCAUCCGGUAAGGCUAAAUACUCCUGAGAGACCGAUAGUGAACCAGUACCGUGAGGGAAAGGUGAAAAGAACCGUGAAUAACGGAGUGAAAUAGAUCCUGAAACCAUACGCUUACAAGCGGUCGGAGCGGCGUAAGCUGUGACGGCGUGCCUUUUGCAUAAUGAGCCUACGAGUUACCGUUGCUAGCAAGGCUAAUCGAUUCAGUCGAGGAUCCGUAGCGAAAGCGAGUCUGAAUAGGGCGAUGCAGUUAGUAGUGGUAGACGCGAAACCGAGUGAUCUACCCAUGGGCAGGUUGAAGCUGUAGUAACAUACAGUGGAGGACCGAACCCGUUGACGUUGAAAAGUCUUGGGAUGACUUGUGGGUAGGGGUGAAAGGCCAAUCAAACUCGGAAAUAGCUCGUACUCCCCGAAAUGCAUUUAGGUGCAGCGUUGAAAAAGUUUUAUAGAGGUAGAGCUACUGAUUGGAUGCGGGGGCUUCACCGCCUACCAAUUCCUGACAAACUCCGAAUGCUAUAAAAUGAUUUUCAGCAGUGAGGGCAUGGGUGCUAAGGUCCAUGUCCGAGAGGGAAAGAACCCAGACCAUCAGCUAAGGUCCCCAAGUGUAUAUUAAGUUGAAUAAACGAGGUUUGACUGCCCAGACAGCUAGGAUGUUGGCUUGGAAGCAGCCAUUCAUUUAAAGAGUGCGUAACAGCUCACUAGUCGAGCGGUCGAGCAUGGAUAAUAAUCGGGCAUAAACAUAUUACCGAAGCUAUGGAUUAACGUUGAAAGACACGUUAGUGGUAGGGGAGCAUUGUAACCUGCGUAGAAGGUGUGCUGUGAGGCAUGCUGGAGUGGUUACAAAAGAAAAUGUAGGCAUAAGUAACGAUAAUGGGGGCGAGAAACCCCCACACCGAAAGACUAAGGUUUCCUCAGCGAUGCUAAUCAGCUGAGGGUUAGUCGGGUCCUAAGGCGAAUCCGAAGGGAGUAGUCGAUGGAUAACAGGUUAAUAUUCCUGUACUUCUUAUAAUUGCGAUGGGGUGACGGAGUAUUGAAAGCACCGCGAACUGACGGAAUAGUUCGUUGAAGACUGUAUCUAUAAGAUCUGUAGGCAAAUCCGCAGAUUUUGGAGAAGGUUGAUAGUACUACAAAGCUUCGGCUGCGUAGAUAGUGUGCCUAAAAGCUUCCAAGAAAAACCUCUAAGCUUCAGAUUAUAAGAACCCGUACCGUAAACCGACACAGGUAGUUGGGAUGAGAAUUCUAAGGUGCUCGAGAGAUUCAUGGCUAAGGAACUAGGCAAAAUAGACCCGUAACUUCGGGAGAAGGGUCGCCCAUCUUCGGAUGGGCCGCAGUGAAAAGGUCCAGGCGACUGUUUAUCAAAAACACAGGGCUUUGCUAAAUUGAAAGAUGAUGUAUAAGGCCUGACACCUGCCCGGUGCUGGAAGGUUAAGUGGAGUUGUUAGCUUCGGCGAAGCAGUGAAAUGAAGCCCCAGUAAACGGCGGCCGUAACUAUAACGGUCCUAAGGUAGCGAAAUUCCUUGUCGGGUA
rnacentral:rRNA from 1 species